AACGCACCUUGCGCUCCUUGGUAUUCCGAGGAGCAUGCCUGUUUGAGUGUCAUGAAAUUCUCAACUGCCCCAGGCUUUUGUGGCUUGCAGGGUGAAGUUGGACUUGGAGGGAUGCUGGCGCAUGAAUAGGGCUUUGUGCCUUGCUGUGCUUGUCGGCUCCUCUUGAAUGCAUGAGCUUUCCAAUCCUUGGCAAAGUAUCGUCGAUGUGAUAAUUAUCUGCAUCGCCCGAGAAAGCCCAAAAGGGGAAAUCUUUGAUCAUGCUGGGGUGAACCCAUGUUUGACAAAUUCGACCUCAAAUCAGGUAGGACUACCCGCUGAACUUAA
rnacentral:misc_RNA from 1 species